rnacentral:RNase_P_RNA from 1 species
AGAGUGGGUCGGGCGGUCGCCGGCUUCUUUUGAAGCCGGAGGAAAGUCCGAGCAGGACAGGGCACGGUGGUGGCUAACGGCCACCCGGGGCGACCCGCGGGAAAGUGCCGCAGAAAAUACACAGCCGAUGUCCCUUAGGGGAACAGGCAAUGGUGAAAUGGUGCGGUAAGAGCGCACCGCGGCGCCGGUGACGGCGCCGGCAGGGUAAACCCCACCGCCUGCAAGACCAAGCAGCCGGACACUCGGCCCGGGUACGGGCGGCUAACAGCCGCUCUGCCGGCGGGUAGGUCGCUUGCCGAAAGGCAGAGCCAACCGGCAACGGUUGGUCAAGAUAAAUGGUCGCCACCCGCCUUUUUAGGCGGGAUACAGAACUCGGCUUACAGACCCACUCUUUUU